rnacentral:lncRNA from 1 species
GAGUAUGUAGCAAGGUAUUACCUCACAAAGCAAUAGGUAGAACAUUGACUGUUGGCCUGGCCACUUCCCUACCUGAUGUAGCCUCUCCCUCACAGUUUCUUAUCUACAUUCUUACACUUUGGGCAUUACAUUGAUCAUUAAACUAAGGACACAUCUCCAUGAAAACUGGAAAUUUGAAGGAACCAUACCCUUUUGGUGUAAUGGAAGGAACAGUUUUGACUUUGUCAAGAUCCUUUUAUAUCACUGUGCAUUUUGCAUCGAGGAAUAUCAUUUUUCAGUAUGGAAAAGCAAGUGAGGGGAACAGAAGAAAGACUAAUUUGGCCUGAAUUAUCUUGGCACGAAUACGCUUUCUCUUCAUGAGUUGGUUAACACUUCCUUCAACAUUUUGCUAAGAAUCCAUUUAUCAGACUAAUUUCUGGGAUUCACUUUUUCCCUACCUGAAAAUCAAAAUUGUUUAUCUCUAGUUGCUUAUCUUAAAAAUCAAAGUUGCUUAUCUAAGUUUUGUUACUUCACAUGUUCUUCACCAUUUCUCAAAAGUUUCUGACAGUCCUUUGAUCACAUAUAUGAGAAGUACUGUUCAUGUAUUUUUUUAAUACAAAUCAAUCAGCUCCAAAAGAUGAAUUCAUUGAAGUGACUAUACUUUUAAUUUCUUAUGACCAGUUUUCAAUUUCUUCUUAAUUCUGUUUGCUUCAAGACCUUUCCCUUUUAAUAGAUAAAAUAGGAGCAAGAUGUCCUAACAUCUGUUAACACUACACCAACUACUCCAAACAGCAAGACUCCCUUUACUUUAUUCUCCCUUUCCUUCUUCUUGCCUCAAAAUAUGCCUUAAUUCUAUUUUUAAUUAUUUGUAGCAUAUUUCAAAAAGUGAAUUUAUAAUGAAUUUAGUCUUCCUAAUUACCACUUUAUAAACCCAUACCUCUCUUGAUGUUCAUUUUCUUUCCAUCUUCUAUGCAUAGCCUUUAAAGUCUCCCUUCAACAUUUUAUGCACAUUGGUUUAUUCCAUUGCAGCUCCCUAUCAUUAUCAGCAGAGAAUUUUUUGUAAGUUUAUCUAUUUAUUUUGGGAGAGAGAGCAAGAGAGCACAAGCAUGCGGAGAGGGGCGGGGGGGGGGGGGGAGAGAAUCCCAAGCUGGCUCCUCACUGUUAGCAUGGAGCCUAGGGCCAGAUGCAGGGCUCAAACCCAUGAACUGUGAGAUCAUGACCUGAGCUGAAGUUGUACGCUUAACAAACGGAGCCACCCAGGUUCCCCAUCAGUAGAACAUAUUGUAUGUACGUUCUGCAUUUACUUCAAACUUCCCAGCCAUCUCAAGCCAAGUCUCCAACCAUGGU